AGAAGUCUGGCGCCAUUAGUUUUUAAUUAAAAAAAUAUAGGGGGAAAUCUCAACAUUAAGAUAAAGCUAAGCAGGACUCAAGUUUCACUAUAUAAACUGGG